rnacentral:lncRNA from 1 species
UCUAAAUAUAUUUUAUAUUUAGAACCUUUUAAUAAUUUUUAAUCCAUUAAUCCCUCUUUGUUUAUACCUUGAUAUAUUGAUAAUUGAUAAAUUACUCCAUUUUAAUAAGAUGAAAUACUUUUGUUAUUUACAGUACGCUAAUUGAAAUGCAGUUGAAACCUCUUGACCCCUUGUGUAUAGAAUUAUACCUAUUGGCACUUUUAACUUUUAGUAACCUUGUUUUUGUGAUGACAGAAAGUAAUUUUAAAUUCCUUUUUUAUUUUUUAAUUUACGAAUUUAUGAAAACACCAAUAAUGUUUAAGUAUUUUACCUUAUGGAGUUUAAGGAGUUAAGAGUACUUGAUAUUAUAUUUAACAGUUAACAUUUAAACUUUGUAAACCAAUCAGAUGUCUGUAACAAACACAUCCAUGAUUAAUUCCAUACAUGUCAGAUCUAAUUUACUUAUUAAAAAAAAUAACAAAACCAAUAUAUCAGACAAAUGCAUUGAACAGCAUUAGACAUUUUUUUCUGUUGAAGAGAAAUCUAGAGACAAUGGAUAUUAGACACUUUAUAGACAUUAACAUUUUAUUAACAACUGUUUGACAUUUUAGAAACAAAACUGUGCAUGACUAACUUUGAAGACAUUUUUACUUUUAUUUAUUUACCCAGUUUAAGUUCAACCUUUUAAAUCAUAUGAAUCAAAGGUAUUUGGAUGCACUUUUUAAGUUUUAAUUUAUGAGCUCAUAUGUCAAUUUUUGGUGCCAGAUAUAUGUAGACAUGGCAGUACAUGUAGAUGGACAGUACACCUGUGCACCUACACAAGACAGACAAACAAAAGCUUUGUAGGUUAUUUUUUAAAAACCUGUUAGAUUGAGAGUUAGCCAUUGUAAAUUGGCCUUAGAACAAAGCAGAGUGUAAUCAGAAAAACAUUAACCUAUGCCUAUCAGAUCAAAAACAUGAAUUUAACAAAUAUAGAAUUUUAAAAGCCUUCCUGGCCUUCGUCCUGAGGUGGUCCUGCUUAUCAAAGCUAAAAAGAGUUAAGGGAACAUAGACAAAUGACGGGACUUAUUCUUCCCUGUAGGAACUUCCCAAAGAAACAGCACGAUUGUCUCCUUGGGAGAGAGUCCCCCCAGGUAGGGUCCCAUUCUAAACUGGUUUUUCUGGUUUCUUGGAUAGUGGCCACCAAAUUUUAGCCUGACAUUGAAAAAUCUUUGAACCAUUUUUAAUAGUUGGGAGUUAUUCAUGCUUGCAAAUACUGAGAGACAAAAGCCAAUUUCCUAGACAAGAUUAUGCUUUUUAUUAUACAAUUUAGAAGUAAUAAUUUUAUAAAAUACUUUAGUCCUAAUCUGCCUUCUAUAGGAACUGAAUUGGCCUCCUGGCCCAGUUCCUAAAUGAAGGCAAUCUCUAGAAUGCCUUUUCAUACCUUUAGCUUUUACUUUUGACCUUUUUUUUUUUUUUAAUCCUGUUGUCAGCCAUUUACAUUUUAAUGCAAGCUUUGGUGAGCACAGUAAAAACCUUUUAAACCAUUUUUUAACAUUAGAAAAAAAAACCCAUAGAAAUUAACAUGAAACAAAAAAGGGACAAACAAUAACAAACAACAAAUAAGAAAAAAACACAAGACAGACAAUAAAACACACAACAGGUAAGGUGCCAAGGACAAAUUUAACUGACAGAAGACCAGAUUCAGACCAGAAGAUUGAGUAAACCAGACUUGGACCAGACAGAAGACCAAGGAAAACCACACUCAGAACAAAGGACUUAGUAAAAACCAGACUUGGACCAGACAGACGACCAAGGAAAACCACACUCAGACCAGAGAACCAAGGAAAAACCAGACCAGAGGACUGGACCAGAGGACUUCCUAGCCCUGGACUCCAGGAAAUAAUGCUGUGUCUAGCUUUUUCUGAGCCUCUCUAGAUCGGACUUACUUUGCUCAGGGAAACACAGAUGACUCUUAGUACUUUUUGUUGGGUGGGGGUUGGUGGAGGGAUGGCCCCAGGCCUGAGGAACAUUUCUCAGAGGCCUUCUCCUAGGCGAUCUCUCCACCACUUCACCUCCCUUGUUGGUCUCCGGGAUGCGAGAAGAGUAGAUCUUGCUGGGGCCUUCAAAUGUUGUGGGGCAGGCCACUUAGAAAACACAUCAAGUUCCAGUUUUGUUCAAAUUGAAGAAUCUUUAUUUAGCUGGCCAGCUGGUGACUGCUCCUUGUAAGACCCAUAACUGUCUCUGCAAGGAGCAGCCCCAAGCCUGAGCAUUUUAGGAUAUUUAAAGUUAAAAAUCACAUCUGGGUUGAUGUAGCUGCAGGCAAGCAGGUACAGAAGCUGAGUUGGGCAGUUAGUGAGACAAUGCAGUGGGUACAUUGGUACUUCCCACGGGACUUUCCAGGAUGGCAUAGCAGCAAGCAAGCAGAAGGGAAGGGGGUCAAAAGGACCCUAGUUGAGUACAAGUUAGAGAAUGGUUACUAACGUCUAGACAAUCUCUGACAAGGUACGUUACCAAAGAAAAAUGGAAAGCAGAGAACAAUUUCACAUCGUAUAAGAAUUGCUGUUUUGUGUUUCCAAGUGUGUUAUGCUAGGUAACUAUUAAUGGGUACAGAGGUGGGGCUUUCCCAUGAGAGAAGCAUUUCUUACAUGAUAUAGAGUCUCAGGGUAAAAUGGAGUCUGUUUGGUCAUUGUCCAUAUAGCCUGGCCCAUAACAGCACAUGCUAGGCAAGCGCUCUACCGCUGAGGCACAACCCCAGCGCUAAACAUUUUUAAUGAUUCUGCUUUCACUGAUAAACCCCAUUGUGCCAUAUUGAAAUUGAAAGUCAAGUAAAUAAAGCACUCCUCACAGCCUUGGAGAGAAAUGGAUAGUUGUCUUUUUUAAAUGUGGUACUUCUUAUCUAUGUAUGAAUAGAAAUCACACUGAAUUUUAAUUCCUUUGUUGAUUUUAAUGAAUAGCAGAAUCACUCUGCAGUGGCUUUGUUUGCUUUCUUACAGAUUUGAUUAUUCUGAAACUUUUUUUUUUCUUUAGUGGUGCUGGGGAUCAAACCUAGGACCUUGCGCAUGGUAGGCAAGUAGUAUACCACUAAUUUACAUCUCCUCCCCCAUGUUUUGUAAUAUUUUUAAUGUUCACAAUAAGAGUUUUAAAAUAAUUUUAUUUUCAACUAUUUUUAGAUUUCUCUUUAAUUUUAUUUUAGAAAUAGAAGAUUUAAAGUGGUUAUAAC